AAUGAACGCUGGCGGCAGGCCUAACACAUGCAAGUCGAACGGGUCCUUCGGGACUAGUGGCGGACGGGUGAGUAACGCGUGGGAACAUGCCCUUUGGUACGGAAUAGCCUCGGGAAACUGGGAGUAAUACCGUAUGUGGUCGAGAGACGAAAGAUUUAUCGCCAAAGGAUUGGCCCGCGUUGGAUUAGGUAGUUGGUGGGGUAAUGGCCUACCAAGCUGACGAUCCAUAGCUGGUUUGAGAGGAUGAUCAGCCACACUGGGACUGAGACACGGCCCAGACUCCUACGGGAGGCAGCAGUAGGGAAUCUUAGACAAUGGGGGAAACCCUGAUCUAGCCAUGCCGCGUGAUCGAUGAAGGCCUUAGGGUUGUAAAGAUCUUUCAGGUGGGAAGAUAAUGACUGUACCACCAGAAGAAGCCCCGGCUAACUCCGUGCCAGCAGCCGCAGUAAUAC
rnacentral:rRNA from 1 species